UACGCAGGGGGCUAGCGUUGUUCGGAAUUACUGGGCGUAAAGCGCACGUAGGCGGUCUAUUAAGUCAGGGGGGAAAUCCCGGGGCUCAACCCCGGAACUGCCUUUGAUACUGGUAGUCUCGAGUCCGGAAGAGGUGAGUGGAAUUCCGAGUGUAGAGGUGAAAUUCGUAGAUAUUCGGAGGAACACCAGUGGCGAAGGCGGCUCACUGGUCCGGUACUGACGCUGAGGUGCGAAAGCGUGGGGAGCAAACAGG
rnacentral:rRNA from 1 species